AAAGAGUUGUUUAUAGCUUCAUUGUUGC
rnacentral:piRNA from 1 species